rnacentral:tRNA from 1 species
AGGGUUGUAGCUCAACAAUACAGCACGUGCCUGGCAAGUGCAAGGCCUGAGUUUGAUUCUCAGUAUCCCCC